GUCUCAAAAAAACAAAAAGCAAAACAAAAAAACCAGUGAUAGUCAUGGAUGAUAACCUGUUGAAUUCCCUAAGAAAACACAGGUCCGUAUUGCGACAAAUAAAUAAGUGAAUAAACUGGAAGUUGAUGAGAAAAGGGAUAUUGACAUAGUCUCAGAGUAUCUUCUCACAAAAUACUUAUUAAUUACAAAGAGAGAAGGAAUAACUUUGCAGUGGAGAAACUUGGCAGACACCACCUUAAGUGAUCAAAUUUAACAUCACCUUUAUUGAAACUGAUCCAAAGCGCCCCAUAACUGCCACUUAGGAUAGUCCUGCCACAAACGCAUGACCUGAAUCUAACCACGAGGAAACACCAGCCAAACCCCAAUUUGAUGAAGUAAGUGAUCUGUAAUCUUCAAAAUGUCAAGGCCGUGAAGGAAGUACUGAGUAACUGUUCCAGACCGAAGGAGACCUGACAAUUUCAUGCAACGCAGGAGACUGAACCGGGUCCUUUUGCUACCGAGGCAUUGUUGAGAUAGUUGGCAAAACUGGCGCCAGGUCUGUGGAGUGGAAGGCUCUUCAACCUGUAAAAUGGGAGGGUAGUGCCUACUUCACCAUAGCCGUGGGGAGAAGCCCGUGAAAACUUCCUGAGGGUCACCAGCCACAUUUGAAGCGAGCAGCUACCGGAUUGGAUAGUGCAGCCCUGCCUCCAACACGUUCACCUGACCCACGGGCAACCGAGGUCCAAGGAGGGCGUGGUCUGCCCAAGGUCACUGAGCUGAGUGGGACCAGGACCCAGGUCCCCUGACUCCAUCACAGCUGUUCCGCUCCACUUCACUGCCUGCCCUAUUUUCAUCAGGACAGCAAGCAGCGACCCAAGAAGCAGCAGUUUCAGCAGUGGAGUCAGAAGGCACAGCCUAACAACAUAUUCCUGCUCAGACAGUAAACUUCUUAGCGUUUCUUUAUUUUAUGUGAAUCUUGCCUGUGACCAUUCUCCACCACUGGAUGAUAUACAUAUGUGUGGAAAGAGUGCAUAAACGACUUUAGCAAGCAUCUAUUGAGCACCUACUGUGUUUCCAGCCCUGCACCUGGCCUUAAAGAUACGGAGAUGAAGACAGCCCAGCUCUGGUCCUCGGGCAGCUCACCUCUGGUCCAGGGAGGGCAGAGUGGUCAGCCCCUCACUUAGGGUGUGCAGAGGGUGGCGUGGGGUCUGAUACAGAGCCGUGCAGAAGUGCUGUGGGAGUGAGCAGAUUGCAUGCCUAGUGUAUGAAAACCCCAGCAAGCAGCCUCCUGGGCUGGCGGAACCAGCUGGAAGGGACCUUGGGAAAAUCCGUGGGGAGCCCACAUGUGGAGCUGCUGGGCCUCGGCCUGUGGGUGUGUGGUGUUUGGGUAACAGCCCAAAGGCUAGGAGGGUUUGUUUUUGUUGUUGAUUGGAACUGAGAGGGGCUAUUGUCAGGCAAAGCCUCAGCUUAUUGGUGUGUGGUGUUGGCUCAGGACUGUGGGGUGGGUACUUGCUGGGGUGCAGUUGCUGUCAGUAACAUCCCUUCAUGGAGCACCCAUUGCAGCAUCCCUCUCCCCCUCCUUCACACAUGUACACACUUGCACGCUCCCACACACACGUGUGCAUCGCCAGUUAUAAAAUUUAAUUUGCAGAGCCCAGGACAAAAUGAAAAUGCAAAGUCCCUUGAUCAAAAGUUAAGAAUUUUAAGGCCGCGACAGUAGAUUGUUUAGACAAGCACAGGGGCCUUCUAAUGGGCCCCGGGUGGCUGCACAGGACACACGUCGGAGAAGCUGGCCCUGCACACACACAGACACACAAGGUCCCCCACUGUUUGCACUGGCCUGUAUCUUCCCUUCUCUCCACCCACUGUGAGGGAGGCCAAAGGCAUGCCAGCUAGUGCUUUAGAGGUUUAUUAUCUCAUGUCAUCUGUCAACAUCCGAUGUCAAUAAUGGCUAUCAUGCCCACUCUCCAUAUGAGGAAGUGAAGAUGAGAAGGAAGAUCUGGGAUUCGAACCCAAAACUUACCUGAGUCCAAAGCCCAGGCUUGUUCCAUGCACACCCUGCCCCCACACCACACAAAGAGGAAUGAGCCACCUCCUUUUUUGUGUUAUUUCUGAUGUUUUUCUUUCUGUUUCUUCCUUCCUUCC
rnacentral:lncRNA from 1 species